rnacentral:rRNA from 1 species
UAAAACAUAGUGUUAAUGCAUUGGAUCCCAUUAGAACUCCACAGUUAAGUGCACUCAAGCUAGAGUAGUACUAGGAUGGGUGAUCGCCUAGGAAGUCCUAGUGUUUUAC